UCCGCAGGCGGCCUUACAAGUGAAAGGUGAAAUCUUUCGGCUCAACCGGAAAACUGCCUUUCAAACUGUAAGGCUUGAGGAUGGAAGAGGAGAGUGGAACUGCCGGUGUAAAGGUGAAAUUUGUGGAUAUUGGCAGGAACGCCCGUGGAGAAGUCGGCUCUCUGGUCCAUAUCUGACGCUCAGGGACGAAAGCUAGGGGAGCCAACAGGAUUAGAUACCCUGGUAGUCC
rnacentral:rRNA from 1 species